UCAGGUUAGUGGCGCACGGGUGCGUAAACGCGUAUGCAACCUACCUUCCACUGGGGGAUAGCCCGGGGAAACCCGGAUUAAUACCGCAUACGAUCAUUUGAGGGCAUCCGACGACGAUCAAAGCUGAGGCGGUGGAAGAUGGGCAUGCGUGCCAUUAGCUAGUUGGUAGUGUAACGGACUACCAAGGCGACGAUGGCUAGGGGUUCUGAGAGGAUGGUCCCCCACACUGGUACUGAGACACGGACCAGACUCCUACGGGAGGCAGCAGUAGGGAAUAUUGGGCAAUGGCCGCGAGGCUGACCCAGCCAUGCCGCGUGCAGGAAGAAGGCCUUCUGGGUUGUAAACUGCUUUUAUCUAGGAAGAAAACGCCCCUGCGGGGGUAACUGACGGUACUAGAUGAAUAAGCACCGGCUAANUCCGUGCCAGCAGCCGCGGUAAUACGGAGGGUGCAAGCGUUGUCCGGAUUUAUUGGGUUUAAAGGGUGCGUAGGCGGCNUGUUAANUCAGCGGUGAAAUCCCAGGGNUCAACNCUGGAACUGCCGUUGAUACUGGCAGGCUUGAGUUCGNUCGAGGCGGGCGGAACUGGUGGUGUAGCGGUGAAAUGCAUAGAUACCACCAAGAACCCCGAUUGCGAAGGCAGNUCGCUGGGCCGAAACUGACGCUGAGGCACGAAAGCGUGGGGAGCGAACAGGAUUAGAUACCCUGGUAGUCCACGCCGUAAACGAUGAUGACUCGAUGUUUGCGAUACACAGUAAGNGUCCAAGCGAAAGCGUUAAGUCAUC
rnacentral:rRNA from 1 species